UAUACCUGACGAUCUCUUUCAAGUCAUUUAAAUAAAACAUGGAUAUCAUGGUUAGUAUUUGUAGAGUCUGUAAAUGUGGUCCCUUGCUUGGUUUGUCUGAAAAUUAAGUGGAAAUAUCCUUUAGAAGUGUUUGUACUUUAGGCGCUAGUUAGCAUGUGCCAGGUGUCAUACCACUGCAGUAAUCAUCUCACUAAACACGUCUUUUCAUAUCCAAUCUGUUCAACAGAGUUUACCAGUCAGACCACUACACCUUUGCCAGCACCACCACCCAGCAAGCUUCAUCAACUCCUGCCAUGCCGAGUUUACCAGUCAGACCUACACCUCCGUCAAAUUCGCUCACAGCGCUGCCAAUAACACCCCAGCAAGAUUUUUACAGACUUGUUCUGCAGCACUUCCGAACAAUUGAGGAGGAGCUGGGGUAAAGCAGCAGGUGGCUGUGAACACAUCUAUGCUGCAGAAGCUAGGUGGUGGUGGUGUGGCGGAUCUUGGCCUCGUGGAGGACAACAACAGGCCAUUGAGUAAUGUUGAGGACCUGGACGAGUUGGAGAGGCGGCUUGCAUCCGAUGCGGACCUGAAAAAUCAACUGGUGAACAUACUUGGGAGGGAAAACCACCGAGAUGCUGUUAAGAGGAUGCUGGGCCGGGCUUUGAGGAGGUCCCUGGCGCUCCAAAUUAAUUAGACUGGUGCAGCAGGAAAGGUGGCUUUUAAGUCCUUACACCUGAAGAGUGUGUUGCAUAUUAAUAUCAUUAUUAAAAAUAAUUUUAAUAAAUUGUUUAAGCAUGUAGAAGAAAUAAAGCAUGUAAAUGAGCAUGUAAAAGAAAUAAAUAAACAAAAUGUAUUGAACCUAAUACUAUGUGUGGUGAGUCUGUGUGAUAGUUGCUGAGGAUAAAUGUUUUUAUAUUGGAUUAUUAAAUUACAGAAUACAUUUAUAGGUUUCUCAUCAGCAGGCACU